UACGGGGGGGGGUAAGCGUUGUUCGGAAUUACUGGGCGUAAAGGGUUCGUAGGUGGCUUGCUCAGUCAGACGUGAAAUCCCUCAGCUUAACUGGGGAACUGCGUCUGAUACUGGCGAGCUUGAGUGCAGGAGAGGAACGCGGAAUUCCAGGUGUAGCGGUGAAAUGCGUAGAUAUCAGGAGGAACACCGGUGGCGAAGGCGGGUCUCUGGGCCGAUACUGACGCUGAGGAGCGAAAGCGUGGGGAGCGAACAGG
rnacentral:rRNA from 1 species